rnacentral:rRNA from 1 species
GAUGAACGCUAGCUACAGGCUUAACACAUGCAAGUCGAGGGGUAACGAGAGGAAAGCUUGCUUUCCUUGUCGACGACCGGCGCACGGGUGAGUAACGCGUAUCCAACCUGCCCCCAACUAGGGAAUAACCUUGCGAAAGUAAGACUAAUACCCUAUAAGUUCCUCAGAUGACAUCUGACGAGGAAUAAAGAUUUAUCGGUUGUGGAUGGGGAUGCGUCUGAUGAGCUUGUUGGCGGGGUAACGGCCCACCAAGGCAACGAACAGUAGGGGUUCUGAGAGGAAGGUACCCCACAUUGGAACUGAGACACGGUCCAAACUCCUACGGGAGGCAGCAGUGAGGAAUAUUGGUCAAUGGGCGGAAGCCUGAACCAGCCAAGUAGCGUGCAGGAUGACGGCCCUAUGGGUUGUAAACUGCUUUUAUACAGGAAUAAAGUUAGCCACGUGUGGUUAUUUGUAGGUACUGUAUGGAUAAGGCCCGGCUAAUUCCGUGCCAGCCGCCGCGGUAA